ACGCUCGACACCUAAGGCAGCAGUGGGGAAUAUUGCACAAUGGGGGAAACCCUGAUGCAGCGACGCCGCGUGAAGGAAGAAGUAUCUCGGUAUGUAAACUUCUAUCAGCAGGGGAAGAAAAUGACGGUACCUGACUAAGAAGCCCCGGCUAACUACGUGCCAACAGCCGCGGUAAUCUGAGCGGGCUGGCAAGGC
rnacentral:rRNA from 1 species